rnacentral:rRNA from 1 species
UGAGUAACCUGCCCUUAACUCUGGGAUAAGCCUGGGAAACUGGGUCUAAUACCGGAUAUGACUCCUCAUCGCAUGGUGGGGGGUGGAAAGCUUUAUUGUGGUUUUGGAUGGACUCGCGGCCUAUCAGCUUGUUGGUGAGGUAAUGGCUCACCAAGGCGACGACGGGUAGCCGGCUGAGAGGGUGACCGGCCACACUGGGACUGAGACACGGCCCAGACUCCUACGGGAGCAG